rnacentral:rRNA from 1 species
GAUGAAUGCUGGCGGCGUGCUUAACACAUGCAAGUCGAGCGAGAGAGUUUCUUCGGAAACAAUCUAGCGGCGGACGGGUGAGUAACACGUGGGCAACCUGCCUUGUAGUGGGGGAUAGCCCUCCGAAAGGAGGAUUAAUACCGCAUAUUGUCACAUUGAGGCAUCUCAAAGUGAUGAAAGGAGUAAUCCGCUACAAGAUGGGCCCGCGGCGCAUUAGCUAGUUGGUGAGGUAACGGCUCACCAAGGCGACGAUGCGUAGCCGACCUGAGAGGGUGAUCGGCCACAUUGGGACUGAGACACGGCCCAGACUCCUACGGGAGGCAGCAGUGGGGAAUAUUGCACAAUGGGGGAAACCCUGAUGCAGCAACGCCGCGUGAGUGAUGAAGGUCUUCGGAUUGUAAAGCUCUGUCUUCGGGGACGAUAAUGACGGUACCCGAGGAGGAAGCCACGGCUAACUACGUGCCAGCCGCCGCAGUAA